rnacentral:rRNA from 1 species
UACGUAGGGUGCGAGCGUUAAUCGGCAUUACUGGGCGUAAAGCGUGCGCAGGCGGUGAUGUAAGUCAGUUGUGAAAUCCCCGGGCUCAACCUGGGAAUUGCAUCUGUGACUGCAUCGCUAGAGUACGGUAGAGGGGGAUGGAAUUCCGCGUGUAGCAGUGAAAUGCGUAGAUAUGCGGAGGAACACCGAUGGCGAAGGCAAUCCCCUGGACCUGUACUGACGCUCAUGCACGAAAGCGUGGGGAGCAAACAGG